AAAAAAAAACUGCUUCCAUUUCGCAAAAAAAACUGCCUCCCCUUCUCCUUCGCACGCGUCCUCCGCAACGCUAAUCACGCGCCUGGUCCGUCGGCGCCGCCGCCGCACGCCCGCCCGCCGGAGCCGCUCACCCUACCCCGUCGCCGCCUCGGAUCCGCCUGUGGCCGCCGUCUCCCGCCGGAGCCGCCUCCUACGCCACCCAUCGCCGCCUCCUAUGCGCCCGCCGCUUCCCGCCGCCGCCUCCUACGCCACCACCCCUCCGCCGUCGUCGCAUCUGUCCUCAGCCAGAUCGGCGCCACCGUGGUCGCCGUCACAAACAUUCCUCCCUGUCCACCGCCUCCGCCUCCGCCGCCGACGCCCCACCCAGGAGCAGGAUUGAGAACGAGAAGACAACUUUCGAUUCGUCUGUUCUCGAGAUGAGGGACACGUUGACCUGAAAUUUUACCCACUCUGACCUCCUCCAUCGGCUGCGCUGUUGCUCAACCUACGCCACCGCCGGAUCGAUGGGAUCCAUUGGCCGCUCCACCUGCGCCAUCGCCGGGAACCACCGAUCGACCUCCUCCAUCGGCUGCGCAGCUGCCGGAUCGACGGGAGCCGCCAGCCGCUCGACCUGCGCUGUCAUAGGGAGCCGUCGGUUGCGCCGCCGCUCCACCUGCGCCACCGCCAGAUCGACGGGAGCCACCCGCUUUCCCCCUCCCGUGCACCUCUACCUGGGAUAAAUUGAUUGAGCAGCUUCAAAGCAGACGCCUCCCUCCGCAUCUCCGUUCCGCUCUCUCCCCUUCGACCACCUCCACCACCAUCGCACGCCGCAUCGCCUCUCCAAUCUCUCCCCGGUGGCUGCGAAUCAAUCCCAGCUGGAUAACACUCAUCCCUCAUGCCAUCUACCUCUCCAGUAUAAUAUACUUCUAGGCAUAUGAUUUUCUCGGUGAUGCAUUUAUUAACACGAUUGCAGAUACUGCAUGUGUUGCAGUUGAUGUAUGAGUAUACUUUCCUGAAGAAGAGGUAGCUGAUUUGUGUAGUUCACACAACAUAAGCAGCAGUUGUCUAAUCCCUUGGAUAAAACCAUAUCAACUACAUGAAGAUCUGGUCAGUUUUUGUCCUUGUAUAUAUGUUUUCCCCUCUUUCAUCUAUAAAUAUAUUUAUGUUUUUUAAAAUUUAGCUGGAGUAAGAUGAUCAAUUGCUCCCAGUUCCCAUGCAUUCAACACUUCCAUAAUCAGCACCUUCUUUCAUAUAUAGAUUAUUUCUAUUAAAUCUAUUCCAUUCCAUUCAGUACUAGGCAUAUGCAUUACAUUAGGCCCACACAGGAGAAACAUGUCAUAUAUUAAGUCAUAGAGUUCUGCCUUCAGAUUUGGCAAGAAAAAGAUAUUUAGAGUGGCUUCAGGUAAUCUUAUGCAAGCGGGCUAUAAUAUUGUUAUUAAUUUCACUUGGAAAGGGUCCUCUAUCUGUCCAUUGAAAUUCACAGUGCAUGUGUUCAGUUCAGUUUUUAUCUCUUUUCUGGAAAGAAUACCACAUAUCUCUACUUCAGAGAGUGCAGGCUUUGGCAGUUAUCUUUAAGAUGGGACCUGCCAUAGCCAUAGCCUUGAUCUCCUCUCUUCAAAUGGAUGGUGGAUGAGGUCUGUUUAAUUUGCUUGUCUUAGAUUGUGGUUUUACUUAUGUUCCUUUUGUUAUACAGUUCUGGUGAAAUUUUUUAUCUCUAGCUGCAUCAUACAUUUCGAUCUUUCCAAAUCUAUAGAUUGUGAUUUUAUCAAAAGGUGCUUGUGCUCCAGUGAAACCACUAGCCAUUUUGCUGGUACAGUGAUAUUAGGGCCAUACAUGAAUUAGGGUUUUGUUUUUUUUGAUAAACUUUGGUGAUGAGGUUCAGAUAUCUUCAUGUUACUGUAUUGAAGCUGCAAUCAUUUCUAAAUUUUCGGAUCUCAAUUCUUUUUCUGACGAUAGCAGUUUGGACUGUAUACAUGUCAUUUUGCUGGUUUCUUUUGCUUUAAGGGAAUCAGGGCAGGACAGAAGGAACACUGUGACCAUGUCCCCCAUGUACGCAUCAAGCUCCCAAGUGAUAAUCUGAAUGCCUGCUCAGAUCCUAGGCGCCGGCGGAAUCAACCUUGACCCAUCAAUGAUGGUCAUCCCCCAUUGACGAUCACAUGGUCCAUAGAGACCAUGGUGUCUGAUUUUUGACGGUUUAAGCUUUGUCUACACUUUUUCUUUCUCAGCAUUUGCUUCUGAUGGUUUAUACUUUAGAGUUGGGUAUUGGAUGUUCAUUCUCUAGAUGAAUUGGUCAUGUACUUGAAAUUUUGCACAUUUGGUACUGAAUCUGCACUCGAAGUGGGUUUCCUAAUUUGGUUAGGUACAUUGUAUAAGCUAGAUUCGCAUUUUGUACAAUUGAUUAAAGAAUAUGGUUUGUCUAUCUGCGUAGCUUCAAAUGAAUGAUGUUUAAUGCUAUUCUAUUUGUAAAUUUACAAAGCAAUAUAUUUGAUUGAAUUAA